rnacentral:lncRNA from 1 species
UGGGAAUAAAGUUUCAUUCAUUCUCCUUUAAUUAAAUCAUUAGUCGAACUCUUACUUUUUAUUAAUUAUUUCUUAAACUUGAGUGACCACGGGUAUAAAGUGCAUUCAUGGCCAGUCAAACUAGACAUAUGGUCAGUUUUGAAUGUGUCCAUAUUUAGUAUUUUGAAAUAUUUUUCAUAUAUUGCAGGUAUGAUUGACUAACACACACAUCAAUAUCAACGAACAAUCUGAAUCUCUCAGCAAUGGAAUGGACUUCAAUUUCAUGGACUUCAAUUUCAUUUCAAUUUCAAUUUCAAUUUCAUAUUUUCUGGCUAGUCCCUUCCUUGGCUUGAUCUCCAAGCAACUUGACCAUGGCUACAACCCACAACUCAUUGCUAGGGCUGCAACUGCCAUCUGUCCCCUCUUUUGUCUCCCUGUUGGCUUCAUUAAAACCCCAUACAUCUUCCUAUUUUAUAUUGCAGCUAUUGUUGCAUUAUACAUUGUUGCUUCAGCCUCCCACACUCGCCAUCUUGGCCUUAUGGUUCGCCGCUACACUGGACGACCAACACUUAAACUCUGAAAAUUCCCUACUAGAAGAGGCGUCUCUGGCUGGUUCUCGGUAUACGCCACUGCUGCUGGUGGCUUAGGCUCUGCCAUUUUCUCUGCUUUCACUUACCAUAUGCUUAGGAACAAAAAUGACCCAUUUGAUAGCCUCUGGGUUGUGUCCAUUUUCAGUGGCCUCAAAUGGCUCGUUGGUAUGCUCCAUGUUGUCACACUAAGGCCAGUGGCAAUCACCAACACGACUUCCUCUGUGCCCAAAUCAUAUUUCCUGUCCCUUUUCAAAUAUCCUUAUGCGAUUGCAAGCCUAAUUGUGAUCUUCAUGUCAUCAUUUUCAUCCACGUGCAUUUUCACUGGGGGGUUAUUGUUUUUACUGGGUCAAUUGUGCCUUAAGCCAAUAUUCUUCCUCUACUUCUGGUUAAUUUACUUCAUCUUCCCAUCAUUUUCAAUGCCAUUACUGCAACCAUUACAGCAUGUUAUCAAAGCAGAUGCUGUGAGAAUGCAACUUCUAGGUUUCCUCUUAGCUCUGUUGACUUCAGGUAUGGGAUUCUACUACAAGGAAAAGAACUGGCAGAGGCACCAUGUACUGCUUUUUGCUGCCAUUCAAAGCACUUCUGCAGGGCUUUUGCAUGCUUUCGGGAGAGUUUUGUUGUUAGAUUGUACACCACAUGGCAAAGAAGGUGCUUUUUCUGUAUGGCACUCGUGGGUAAAAGCACUAGGAACUUGUACUGGCUUUGCUGUGGCAUCAGCGAUCAGGGGAAAUGUGAGCACUGCUUUUGGGGUUUCAUUUUUGGCUGCUACGAUCGAGAUUCUUAUUUUGAUUUUUGGGAACAUCAGUGAUGUUGGUGGAGCCAUGGCUGCUGGGCAUCUUUAUGAAGAUAGUGAGAAGGGAUCCCCAGUGCCUGGUUUAGAUACCAGCAUUAUUAUAAAGGAACAUGCUCAGCCUCACGAAGAAACUGCUUAAGUAAUGCAAGUGAACUUUCGCAAAUAGUCAAUUCUGUUAUCUUUUAUAAGUAAAUAACUAAGGCAUAUAUGAUUUUCAUUUUUUCAUCCUUUUUUAAUUUGGUUCUUUUUUUCUCUUUUGGUUGAAUAAGUAUAUCCCACAUUCUGUUAACUGUAAACAACUUCUUGUGUGCCUUUUACACUUUUAUUGGUCAUUGCUUUGAAUUAAUGUAAUAUUGAUUUAACUGAAAUGAUAAUUCUUUUUUUUUUUGUGACCUUAUCAUUUCCUAAACUCGUUUAAUUAACUGGCAUAUUAACUUAUGUGACAUUGGUAUAUAAAAUUCUAUCAAUAAAAUUGUAUGCACUAUAGCAAUACGCGUAAUGACACCAAUUUUUUUAUGCACAGGCAUUGCCUUCCAAGUGAGAGGCAAGGCCAGCUGGGCUGCAGGCUUAGGGUGCGUUUGAGAUUGAGGUGCUGUAGCUUUUAAGCUACAGCUGCUGUGAAAAAAAAGCUGUAAUUAUGAAACAAAAGUUAAUAAUAUAUAGUAAAUAUAAAUUUUAAAUAAUAAUUUUGAUAAAAUUAUUAAAGAUAUAAUAAAUUUUUUAUUAUACAAGUGAAAAAUCAUAUCAACAUAGCUUAAAAGUUACAGCAGCUAGUGUUUACCAAACACUUUAGUGCUGUAGCUUUUAAGCUACAGCUGCCCAACCUCAAUCCCAAACGCACCCUUAAUCACUGUUUUGUAAUCUGUAAAACGUUGAGAUCAAUAAUUCCCACGCGGAGGACAAAAGCAGCAAAAGAAAACUGCAUCUGUUGACUUUUGAAAAUAUUUCGAAGCCUUUGCCUCACUUGAAAUGCUUUGUGAACACAGGAAGUUGUAUAAAAAAUAUCUUUUCAUUGAAAAAAAUAAAAUAAACUAAUAAUAAUAUAACUUUUCUAAUAUUUUAAUGUGGAUAUCAAAAAAAUUAUAGGAAAAUAUCCACCGUCCACUUAUUUUUUCCAACUUUUUCAAAAAUACAUUUUUUUUUGCUGGAUUCCACCUAAAGUUAUAUUUUGUUUCACUUUUCCACUUCCGUUUGGAAUCCGUUAAGAAAACUAACGGAAACUUAAAAAAAUGAUAAUUUUACGUCCAAAAUGAAAAUUACAAUUUCACCCUAAAAAAUGCAAAAAAUAAUCAGAUUUAAUAAUAAAUAUCAUUAUUGGUAUGUUAGUGAAGUACAAAAAAAUCUUAACUACUAGAGAUUAUAACUCAAUGAAUAAUAAAACUCUACUUAUCUUAAAUUCAAUUGGUGGUUUACGAGAUUAGGCUAUUUUUAAUACUGCUGUUAUAAUUUAGCAUUCUAAUUACAGACAUAUUUUUUUUAAAAAAAACUACAUUUGAUGGUUGUAGAGUUAAUUUCUUUAUUGACCGAUGGAGAAAAUAAUCAGAGUUUGAAUAGUACGCUCUGACUGUCCAUCAGUCUGUGGAUGAAAAGCUGUACUGAAGUUCAACUUGGUGCCUAAGGCAUUUUGCUAGCUAGUCUAGAACUUAGAAGUAAACCGGGAAUCUCUAUUUGAGACUAUGGACACAGGUACUCCGUGAAGUCGAACUAUUUCAGCCACAUAAAUACUCCCCAACUUGUCCAUCGAGUAAGUGGUCUUGAAAGGUAAGAAAUGAGCAGAUUUUGUAAGUCGGUCAACAACCACCCAAACACCAUCAUGUCCUUUCUGAGUACGUGGAAGUCCCGCUACAAAAUCCAUGGUGAUGUGCUUCCACUUCCACUCAGGAAUAUGAUGCGGCUGAGAACACCCUGCAGGCCUCUGGUGUUCAGCUUUAAUCUGCUGACAGACUAAACAUCGAGAAACAAAUUUUGCUAUCUCUCUCUUCAUGCCCUGCCACCAGUAAUGAUCCCUUAGGGUACGAUCCAUCUUCGUACUACCAAGAUGCAUCGCAUAUGCUGAACAAUGAGCUUCUUCCAUAAUCUCUUCUUUCAGAUAUUUAAUACCAGGUACACAGAGUCUAUUACCCAUGACUAAGACACCCUCAUCUCUCACCAUAAAAUCGGUUCAUAAACUUUUCUGCACAUCAUCUUUCAACUUUAUUAAUUGUGGGUCUUGAUCUUGCAUCUGGUGAACUUUGUCAAUCAAAGUCGGCCUAACUCAAAAAUUAGCUAUCAAAGCUCCACGAUUGUCAGCGUUCAACUCGACUCCCAAAGAUCUCAACUCGAUCAACAGAGGCACAUAUUUCACUCGCAAGUGAGCUAUAGAGCUGUAAGACUUUCUACUUAGUGCAUCAGCUACCACAUUUGCUUUGCCCGGAUGAUAAUCGAUAGUGCAAUCGUAGUCCUUAAUCAGCUCGAUCCAUCUCCUCUGUCUCAAAUUCAACUCAUUCUGAGUAAACAAAUACUUCAAGCUCUUAUGAUCAGUGAAAAUUUGGCACGUUGCCCUAUAUAAGUAAUGUCGCCAUAUCUUGAGUGCAAACACCACUGCUGCGAGCUCUAAGUCAUGUGUUGGGUAGUUUCGUUCAUGCUCUUAAGUUGUGUAGAAGCAUAAGCCACCACUUUCCCAUGCUACAUCAAUACACAACCCAAUCCCUGCCUAGAGGCAUCGUUGUAAACCACAAAUCCUUCAUUACCAGAUGGAAGUGUAAGAACUGGUGCUGAGGUCAAACGUGUCUUAAGUUCUUGAAAACUCUUCUCAUAGUUAUCAUCCCACUGGAAUUUAGCAUUCUUUCUGGUUAACUGUGUCAGAGGAGUAGCAAUCUUGGAGAAUCCUUCCACAAAUCUACGAUAGUAACCGGCUAAUCCAAGAAAACUCCGAACCUCUAUGACAUUUGUAGGCCGUUCUCAUUUCACAACUGCUUCAAUCUUUUGAGGAUCAACAUAAAUGCCUUCAGCUGAUAUCACAUGGCCCAAAAAUACUACUCUAUCCAACCAGAACUUGCAUUUGCUAAACUUGGCAUACAAUUGCUUCUGUCUCAAAGUCUGUAAAAUAGUCCGCAAAUGCUCUGCAUGCACCUCCUCGCUUCGGGAAUACACUAAGAUAUCAUCAAUGAAUACAAUCACAAACAGAUCCAAGUACGGGCGAAAUACCAUGUUCAUCAGGUCCAUAAAAGCAGCUGGGGCAUUUGUCAACCUAAAUGGCAUCACUAAGAACUCAUAGUGCCCAUAACGGGUUCUAAAAGCUGUUUUAGGAACGUUGACAUCUUUAAUUCUAAGCUGAUGGUAACCCGAGCGCAAAUCGAUCUUAGAAAAUAUUUUUGCCCCUUGGAGUUGAUCAAACAAGUCAUCAAUACGCGGAAGUUGAUACUUAUUGCGUACCGUAACUUUAUUCAACUGUCUGUAGUCGAUGCAGAGUCUAAAAGUCCCAUCUUUUUUCUUAACAAACAAGACUGGAGCUUCCCACGAGGACACACUAGGUCUAAUAAACUCUUUCUCCACCAACUCUUGCAAUUGAACCUUCGGUUCCUUCAAUUCUGCUGGAGCCAUUCUGUACGGUGCCAUAGAUAUUGGAGAUGUUCCAGGGACUAAGUCAAUAGAAAACUCAACUUCUCUGUUAGGUGGCAUCCCAGGAAGUUCAUUUGGAAAUACAUCUGGAAAUUCUUUAAGUACUGUAAUAUCCUCCACUCUCAAUUCUCGAGCUUCUGUAUCUAUCACAUGAGCUAAAUAAGCUGAGCAUCCUUUUCUUAACAACCGUCUUGCACUAAUAGUAGAUAUAACACAUGAUGGUAGAACUUUGCGCUCCCUACAGAAUUUCACCUCAGCUUUCUUUGGCUUUUUAAACACAACGUCCUUUUUGAAACAAUCCACCGUAGUAUAAUGAGAUUCAAGCCAAUCCAUGCCUAAAAUAGCAUCAAAGUCAUAAAUAUCUAAGGAAAUCAAAUUUGCCUCAAAUUCAUGUUCACCCAUUUCAAUCAUACAAUCUCGAUACACACUCUCAGCAAGUAAUGACUCUCCGGUAGGUGUAUGAACAACUAAAUCACAAUCUAGCAGUUCGGGCUCUCGCCCUAUGUGCAUAACAAAAGUACGAGAAACAAAAGUGUGUGUGGAUCCAGGAUCAAUAAGAAUAUGAGCCUCGCGGCCAAGGAUAGAUAAUAUACCCAUAAUAACUUCUAGUGCAGCACGUGCUUCCUGCUGCGUCAAAGUAAAAACGCGAGCCUGAGUAUGAGGUCGACCAGGCUGACCUCUCAGACCUGGAGCAGUCGUCUGACUCCUAAAGGUAGAUGUAGAACCUCAUGUCUGCACUCCUUUCUGACCCUGAGUCUGGCCAGAGUAAGGCCGAUACCGUGAGGCUGUCCCUCCUGUAGAGCUAUCACCCUGAGAUAAAGUAGGGCAGAAUCUCCUGAUGUGUCCAGGUUGACCACACAAAUAACAAACUCUGUCUCCAACAUGACAUUGGCCCUGAUGAUUCCUACCACAUGAAGGGCAAGAAGUCUGCUGGAAACUCCUAGAACGAUCAUCACGAUAUCCCCCACCACUGCGGUCGUACUGUCCCUGAUUCCUGGUAUUACUCCCCACUAACGGUUGCACAGAGCUGUGACUGAUAGCCUGUCUCGAGUCUCCCCAAAAGCCUGUACGCUAACUCCUUUGCGUACUAUCAGAAUAACUCGUAGGAAUACCCCCUCUCUUGGGCGGCCUACUACUAGAGUCACCCUCUGCCCAGCUCUGGCUACGCUUCUGCUUCAGUGCAUGAAAUCUAUGUCCUUCUGAAAUACUGUGCUCUACUCUCCUGGCUGCCUCAACUACCUCACCAAACUCAGUAUAUCGUGAUGCAGUCACGGUGGUGCGAAUCUCAAAUCGGAGGCCAUCCUCGAACCGUCUGUAUCUCUCUCUCUCAUCACCGACUACAGAUGUAGCAAAUCUAGAGAGGUCUAAAAAUUUCCUCUCAUACUCCUCAACUGUCAGAGAUCCCUGAACCAACCGAAAGAAUUCACUCCGUUUAAUAUCCUGAUAUACAACAGGAAAAUAAUGAUCGUAGAAUUCCUUGCGGAAAAUAGCCCAAGUAAUCGCAGCAUGCCUCUGAUAUCGUCUCUCCACAGUCGGCCACCAAUGGUAAGCUCUAUCCUCGAGCAAGAAAGUGGCGAAGGAUAAUCUAUCAUCCUCUGAACAGUUCAUCACAUCAAAAAUACAUUCUAACUUAACAAACCAUGACUCAGCCUCAGGUGGUUCUCCAGAACCAUUAAAGCUCUUCGCCCCUAAACUCCUCACUCGCUCAAUAGUGUUUGCGGUACCGACAUGCGCUUGAGUAUGAUUUUGCACAACUGUAGUCAUGAUCUGAGCCAGCUUAUCAAAUGACUGCUCAAUAUUUGGGGCAUUCCCCGGUGCCUGUUGUGCAAUUUCAUGCGUAGAGGAUUCAACUAUCCCCUCAUUCGCGCGUUCACUUUCCCUCGCAGGUACACUACCAGAAGUCAACCCAGCUAUUGGUCUAGUACAGCCACGGCCACGUCUACUGCUAUGACGAAGCAUGAUGGUGCCUACAAGAUAUAAAUUCUCACUUUAAUAACAAUACAGCUUAUUCUUAUUAAGACAGUAAAGUCUACAGAAUCUAAAACCAUGCUCUGAUACCAACUGAAACGACCCGCCCCGAAUCCCCCUAGGCGAGUCUAUCUAGUCUCAUCAAAACAGACUUGAUAAUAAUUCUAUUCGUAAAGAUUCUGCCGAAAAUUCGGCAAAGUCUCCUUUAUAUAUAUAACACUCCCAAUCUACAAAUAUGAAUAUAACACUCCAAAUGCAAUUCAAUAUACAACAAACUCCAGUGCUCAACAUCCUCAACCAAAAUGCUGAGUUUCAUAUCUCCAGAGUCUCAAAAGAUAAUAUUAUAACUAAUAUUAAUAUAUCAAUUUAUUCUUAAUCCCAAAAGAAUAAUAUAUCAAAAUUAUACAAUCCCAAAAGAACAAGAUGACCAAGAUGUCCUAACACAAAAACAUCUAUAUCUUCUAACAUCAUCACGUGGCCAAAACUCAAAAUAUAUUUACAGUCGCUGGGUUGGUCUGGUGUACCUGCAACCUCCUGGUGAGGGGGGAAAAAUAUAAUAGAAAUGGGGUGAGUUUUAAACUCACUGAGAUCAGUGAGUGGAUAAUAGUUUUGAAAAUUAAUUCUUACUUUAAAAGAAAUAAUCAUAUCAUUUCCAAACACGAUUUCAUUAAACCGUAAGCGAAAAACCAGUAACAAAUCAUUAAACAUUGAAAUCAAAUUACUAACCAUGGACAUCAUAUCACAAUAUCAUAUAGAAUUCACAAAUCUGAAAAUCAUCACCAAACAAGUACUCAGGGAAAUAAUCUCGUCAUAUCCGGACCUCAACGGACAGGCAAUGACGUACUAUCUGGGUACCGCCACGCCCCGGAGCUACACGGAUAGACAGAGAAAUACCAUCUCAUAUCUCAUCAUAUCUGUGCAUGCAUAAUCUAGUCCCCAAAGGACAAAAGCGCCCAAGCACACGGCCCAAAGCCUCUGUGUGUACUCAGAUGGGCCCCAAAGGCCUGUAUCUCAUCUGUAUCAUCUGUAUCAUUUGUAUCUCAAUAUCUCUCUGUAUCUCAUAUCUGUAUCUCUGUAAUCAUCAUACCGCAUGCAUAUGCCUCCAAAAGGCAAAAACGCCCAAACACACGGCCCAAAGCCUCUAUGUGUGUUUAGACGGGCCCCAAAGGCCUCUCAUCUCAUUUGUAUCACAUGUAUCUGGAGGGAAGGGUAUUGUCUAAUGAUUUCAAAAACAAUCAUUAUACUCAUAUUCACAUACCUCUUAACCAUAUGUUUAAAUCAUACCACAUUUGAAUCCACUUUUCUUAUCUUUAAAAUACUAUCAUGCUCAUUCAAAGUCAAUACGCAAAAUCAUUAAUCAAACAUUUUAAUAAAAUACCAAUGCGUGAAUAAAAUCUAGUUCGAGGAAAUCAUUAAAUCAGAACAUUUAAAAUACUUAUUUUGCAAACAUGUUUUACUAUCAUAAUUAACUAUGAAAAUAGGUUUUGUAUAUUCCACUCACAGUGACAGUGUUCACGGUCGGUUAUCGUCCACGUCCGCGGACUGGUUCUCGCUCGCGGAUCCUCCUAAAAUAAGGAAACGACAUAAUUAUUUUCCGUAAAUCGGAAUUAUGACUAAAUUUUAUGCAAUAAACUCGAACCGAAUAUCUAUCCAUAAUUGACAACUCCCGUAUCUAUAAAAUUACUAAAAUGCCCUUGAGUCAGUAGAUCAUUAACAUGCUCCGAAAUCGUAAAUCACUGAAUUACCCUCGAAAUCGUAAUUACACCCAAUCCUCAAUUCUAGGAAUUACUAACAUAUCCACAGGCUCAGAAAUUACAAAAUUGCCCUCAUAGUGUGAAAUUACCAAAAUGCCCUUGCCGGUCAACGGUCACCGGAAUUUGGUCAACGCUGGCUAGGAAGCUCAAAUCUGAAAGUUCCAAUCAUGUUGAGUUCAAUGGUACCGGCGGUGAGCUCCAACACGUGGCAACGACGCCGAAAUCUAGCUCGGCAGCCGUGAAUUCCAACAAUCGACCUGCGGCAACACAGUGACUCUCGGUGCCUAUGGAUGGUCGGAAAUGGAAGAGGGAGUCAUGAGGAGCAAAAUCCAAUCGGUGGUGUCACUCAAAACCGGCGAAAAUCCCGGCGAAGCAAAGUGAAAUAGUCGCGGGUUUCAAGCUUCGAUCGCCGGCGUUUCGGUUGGUUUUCGGCGGCGAGGAUGGCAGGGGAACAACGGUCGGCUUCUAAGCUUCAGAUUGGUACCAAGCUCGGCCGAAACGGUGGCCGGAAAUGGGAGUUAUGGCCGGGUCAAGGACGCGGGUUCCGGGUCGGGUUUCCGGGUCGGGUUGACGGCUUCUCUCUCUCACUCUCUCACUCUCUCACACACGUGUGGCUUCUGUUUUUUUGCUCUGUUUUUUCUAGCU